rnacentral:misc_RNA from 1 species
GCAUCAGGUGCUCGAUCUGCCGGUCCAGGACACCAUGAGACAGCAUCAUUUUCUGCCUCUUUUUCAAUUCUCUGAUUCGAUCACUAAUGGAGCUUACUGCUAAGACGGAUUGGGCUUUGAGCUCAGGUCAUGGCAUGCAAAUUCGGAGUUAGGGUUAAGCUUCUGGGCAGAGAGUAUAGAGAGAGAGAGCGGAAGAGGAGUGUAUGGAUUUAGCAUCUC